GAUGAACGCUGGCGGCGUGCUUAACACAUGCAAGUCGAACGGAAAGGCCCUGCUUUUGUGGGGUGCUCGAGUGGCGAACGGGUGAGAAAAACGUGAGUAUCCUGCCCCUGACUUUGGGAUAACAUCAGGAAACUGGGGAUAAUACCGGAUAGGAGCUCCUGCUGCAUGGUGGUGGAUGGAAAGUUUCGGCGGUUGGGGAUGGACUCGAGGCUUAUCAGCUUGUUGGUGGGGUAGUGGCUUACCAAGGCUUUGACGGGUAGCCGGCCUGAGAGGGUGACCGGCCACAAUGGGACUGAGAUACGGCCCAGACUCCUACGGGAGGCAGCAGUGGGGAAUAUUGCACAAUGGGCGGAAGCCUGAUGCAGCAACGCCGCGUGCGGGAUGACGGCCUUCGGGGUGUAAACCGCUUUCGCCUGAGACGAAGCGUGAGUGACGGUAACGGGUAAAGAAGCACCGGCUAACUACGUG
rnacentral:rRNA from 1 species